rnacentral:lncRNA from 1 species
CAAAUUCUGCAAGAAUGGCCAUCAUCCAUUGCUUUGACUGACUGUUGACUGUCUUUGACCUAAUUGCUGAUAAUUGCUUCAACUGCAAGCAACAAGGUUAGACUGACAAUAUUUUUGUACUUUUUGGAUGAUAAACAUAUGAAAAGCAAUAAUAUACAAAUGCAAAAACAUGCUUGGUGAUCAAGAACCACACACACAAG